rnacentral:rRNA from 1 species
CAGCCGCCGCGGUAAUACGUAGGUGGCAAGCGUUGUCCGGAAUUAUUGGGCGUAAAGCGCGCGCAGGUGGUUUAAUAAGUCUGAUGUGAAAGCCCACGGCUCAACCGUGGAGGGUCAUUGGAAACUGUUAAACUUGAGUGCAGGAGAGAAAAGUGGAAUUCCUAGUGUAGCGGUGAAGUGCGUAGAGAUUAGGAGGAACACCAGUGGCGAAGGCGGCUUUUUGGACUGUAACUGACACUGAGGCGCGAAAGCGUGGGGAGCAAACAGGAUUAGAUACCCGCGUAGUCCCUGUCUCUUAUAC